GAUGAACGCUGGCGGCGUGCCUAAUACAUGCAAGUCGAGCGAACAGAUGAGGAGCUUGCUCCUCUGACGUUAGCGGCGGACGGGUGAGUAACACGUGGAUAACCUACCUAUAAGACUGGGAUAACUUCGGGAAACCGGAGCUAAUACCGGAUAAUAUAUUGAACCGCAUGGUUCAAUAGUGAAAGACGGUUUUGCUGUCACUUAUAGAUGGAUCCGCGCCGCAUUAGCUAGUUGGUAAGGUAACGGCUUACCAAGGCGACGAUGCGUAGCCGACCUGAGAGGGUGAUCGGCCACACUGGAACUGAGACCCGGUCCAGACUCCUACGGGAGGCAGCAGUAGGGAAUCUUCCGCAAUGGGGGAAAGCCUGACGGGGCAAACCCGCGGGAGUGAAGAAGGUCUUCGGAUCGUAAAACUCUGUUAUUUGGGAAAAACAAAUGGGUAAGGAAAUAUGCCCGUCUUGACGGUACCUAAUCAGAAAGCCCCGGCUAAAUUCGUG
rnacentral:rRNA from 1 species